AUUAAACCAACUUGGGGUGUUCAAAUUUGUAAGAUGGCUGAGAUUCAAGCAGUUAAAUCAGUUUGCGUUUCAUGCAAGAAGGAAUGUGGAAGCCAUUUUUGCAAAGUUUGCAA